rnacentral:rRNA from 1 species
UACGUAGGGGGCUAGCGUUGUCCGGAUUUAUUGGGCGUAAAGAGCGUGUAGGCGGCCAGAUAGGUCUGCUGUGAAAACUCGAGGCUCAACCUCGAGCUGUCGGCGGAAACCAUCUGGCUAGAGUCCGGGAGAGGAGAGUGGAAUUCCUGGUGUAGCGGUGAAAUGCGCAGAUAUCAGGAGGAACACCGGUGGCGAAGGCGGGUCUCUGGGCCGAUACUGACGCUGAGGAGCGAAAGCGUGGGGAGCGAACAGG